UUCCUGGCCUGUGACUAGCCAGACCAGGGAACAUCGCCCGGCAUUGUGCUCAAAUAAACCGCCUGGCCCUUUGUUGCUUCUUGUCACCUGCUUAUUUCGGCUAGAAUUUAUCUUACAUUUCGUGCCAAAAACCGGGAAGGGGCUUGAGCGCAGGGCCCCAAAUGGCCAUCAGCAGCCCUACCCCCUCCUUCCCCGACCCGGGACCUCAGCCUGCUCUCCUCCGCGUGGACUAUUUUCCGUCACUGUUUUAUUACUCCUAAACUAGUAAAGAACUAGAUUUCACCAGAACAAGUAUUAGUUACACAGGAAGUAAGUAAAAGCAGAAGAGGGACCCCAAAUUCCACCCCAUGACCUGGUAACCAUGACCUUUAAAGUCUUUAAUACCCGUGAUGAAGAAAAUGAGAAAAGGACAGUGUCUCAAACCCAACCCUUCACGGCGGCCCUGUGGCCGGCAGGACAGGGGUCUCAUCACACCAAAGACCAGUCUGGAGCUUGUGAGCCUCCAGGACGCUGCUUCCGGUGUGGCCAAGAAGACCACUGGGCAAAGAGAUGCCCCAGCCUGACCAAAAAGCUGACUAAACCCUGCGCAGUUGGCAGUAAGAGAAGUCAUUGGAAAGUAGAGUGCCCAGUUGGGGAAGGUCAUCCCCCCAUGACAGAGUCUCGUGGGAGGCAGGCCCCCCUGAGGGACUCCCCUCCAGACCUGCUGGGCCUACUCGAAAAAUGAAGAUGCCCAGACUCAAACACCUCUAUCACCCUUGCCGAGCUCAGGACCACGCUGUGGGUAGCAGGUAAGUCCAUCUCCUUUUUGGUGGACACAGAGGCUGCCUACUCUGUUUUACCUUCCUUUCAUGGGCGUUUACAUCCUCCCCAGGUCUCGGUCGAGGGUGUCACGGGAACCCCCUCUAAGCCUCUAGAGACAGGUCCGGUAGCCUACACGUUUGAGAGCCAUCUUCUUACCCACUCAUUUCUAGUCAUCCCGUACUGUCCCUUCCCUUUGUUAGGGAGAGAUCUACUCCCCAAGCUUGGUGCCUCUAUCUCCCUGCCUCUUAGUCAUCCCCAACUGAGCUCACUCAUCAUCUUAGCCAAUAUAAGUUGUAGCCCUGAGCCCUCCACUGACCCUCCUGUACAGUUGACCAGUGUUAACCCGAUAGUCUGAGACACCUCUACCCCUGUAGUGUCGAGCCAUCAUGCUCCAGUCCUCAUCCGCCUCAAAGACCCAUGCUCCUCUCCUUCUAGACCCCUAUUUCCUAUUUCCCAAGCCCAUUGCAAGAGCAUCCUACCUAUCAUUAACCAUCUUCUUUCUCAAAGGCUUCUGGUACCAACUAAUUCUCCCUGUAACACUCCAAUCCUUCCAGUCAAGAAGCCAUCGGGGGCCUACCAACUUGUUCAAGACCUGCAAAUAAUCAAUGAAGCUGCAGUCCCUCUUCACCUGGUCAUCCCUAACCCUUAUACUCUCUUAUCUCAAGUUCCCCCAAACACCUCUCUUACCUACCUUACUUCUCACUCCUAAGAAAGAUACCCCCUUGUUCUGCCCAAUGCUCAUCUUUCCAUUCUUUGAUCCAGGCUGCCUGCUACGAACAAGCCUCAGUCUGUCUCUCGUCCAGACUACAGUACUAGACGGGGGAAAGCCUGAGUGAUCAUGCUAGAUAUAUCUGUCCUGAGAGAUGAAGACAACAUAUCUGCUAGAAGCUCUGGCCACCGAUAGAGAGGUCAGACAGUAGAAGUGCACAAGACCAUGUGGGUACAUCAGUACUCACCCCUUCCCUCUGGCCUCCCACCAGCCUCAACCCUACCGACACCGCCCCUCCUCUGCCAGAAGUAGCCAGAUAGAGUCAGCAUCCUUUAUAACCAAAAGGCUGGAAUGUGAAGGCGGAGGCACCAGUGGGAGGGGGGAGUAUGUUGGACACUGAUGACGUGCCAAAGUCCCCAGCUGCUGCCCCCUUCCAACCUGAAAAAUGUGCCUUAUGCUAACCAAUCCUCACGCUGCUGCAAAUCUAAGCUCUGCCUCCCCCUACCUUCUUUUAAAAACUCACUGCCCGCCCUGCUGAGUGUGACUUCCCCAGCCUGUGACUUGCCAUACCGGGGAACCUCACCCGGGAUUGCGCUCAAAUAAACUGCCUGGCCCUU